AUUGAACGCUGGCGGCAUGCCUUACACAUGCAAGUCGAACGGUAACAGGUCUUCGGAUGCUGACGAGUGGCGAACGGGUGAGUAAUACAUCGGAACGUGCCUAGUAGUGGUGGACAACCACUCGAAAGAGUGGCUAAUACCGCAUGAGAUCUACGGAUGAAAGCAGGGGAUCGCAAGACCUUGUGCUACUAGAGCGGCCGAUGGCAGAUUAGGUAGUUGGUGGGAUAAAAGCUUACCAAGCCGACGAUCUGUAGCUGGUCUGAGAGGACGAUCAGCCACACUGGGACUGAGACACGGCCCAGACUCCUACGGGAGGCAGCAGUGGGGAAUUUUGGACAAUGGGCGCAAGCCUGAUCCAGCAAUGCCGCGUGCAGGAUGAAGGCCUUCGGGUUGUAAACUGCUUUUGUACGGAACGAAAAGCCCUGGGUUAAUACCCUGGGGUCAUGACGGUACCGUAAGAAUAAGCACCGGCUAACUACGUGCCAGCCGCCGCCGUAA
rnacentral:rRNA from 1 species